rnacentral:rRNA from 1 species
GACGAACGCUGGCGGCGUGCCUAAUACAUGCAAGUAGAACGCUGAAGCGAGGAGCUUGCUCUUCUUGGAUGAGUUGCGAACGGGUGAGUAACGCGUAGGUAACCUGCCUUGUAGCGGGGGAUAACUAUUGGAAACGAUAGCUAAUACCGCAUAACAAUGGAUGACACAUGUCAUUUAUUUGAAAGGGGCAAUUGCUCCACUACAAGAUGGACCUGCGUUGUAUUAGCUAGUAGGUGAGGUAAUGGCUCACCUAGGCGACGAUACAUAGCCGACCUGAGAGGGUGAUCGGCCACACUGGGACUGAGACACGGCCCAGACUCCUACGGGAGGCAGCAGGAGGGAAACUUCGGCAAUGGGGGCAACCCUGACCGAGCAAAGCCGCGGGAGGGAAGAAGGGUCUCGGAUCGGAAAGCUCUGUUGUAAGUCAAGAACGGGUGUGAGAGUGGAAAGUUCACGCUGUGACGGUAGCUAACCAGAAAGGGACGGCUAACUACGUG